GACGAACGCUGGCGGCGUGCUUAACACAUGCAAGUCGAACGGAAAGGCCCCUUUGUGGUUACUCGAGUGGCUAACGGGCGAGUAACACGUGAGUAACCUACCCUUGACUUCGUGAUAACUUCAGGAAACUGGGGCUAAUACCUGAUAGGAAUCCUUGCUGCAUGGUGGGGGUUGGAAAGCUUCGGGGGUCUGGGAUGGACUUGCGGCUUAUCAGCUUGUUGGUGGGGUGGGGGCUUACCAAGGCUUUGACGGGUAGCCGGCCUGGGAGGGCGACCGGCCACAAUGGGACUGAGAUACGGCCCAGACUCCUACGGGGGGCAGGAGGGGGGAAUAUUGCACAAUGGGGGGGAGCCUGAUGCAGGAACGCCGCGGGGGGGAUGACGGCCUUCGGGUUGUAAAACGCUUUCAGCAGGGGCGAAGCUUGUGGUGACGGUACCGGGAGAAGAAGCACCGGCUAACUACGUG
rnacentral:rRNA from 1 species